rnacentral:rRNA from 1 species
AAAUCGUAACAAGGUUUCUGUAGGUGAACCUGCAGAAGGAUCAUUAGUGAAGAUUUGGGCAGGCCAUACGGACGCCAAAAAGUGUCCCUGGCCGCCUACACCCACUAUACAUCCACAAACCCGUGUGCACUGUCUUGGAGAAAGGCUUCAGAGAAGUUUUUUGUGGCCUCUCUUGGGGUCUUUCUUCGCUACAAACUCGAAUGGUUAGUAUGAACGUGGAACUUGGUUGGACCGUCACUGGCCAACAAACUAUACACAACUUUCGACAACGGAUCUCUUGGUUCUCCCAUCGAUGAAGAACGCAGCGAAACGCGAUAGGUAAUGUGAAUUGCAGAAUUCCGUGAAUCAUCGAAUCUUUGAACGCACCUUGCGCUCUAUGGCAAUCCGUAGAGCAUGCCUGUUUGAGUGCCAUGAAAUCUCCCACCCCAAGCGGUUUUUAAAUGAAACGGCUUGGCGGAUGGGGUCUGGAUGGGUGCCUCUGCCUGCGCUACCUAGCACAGGCUCGCCCGAAAUGCAUGAGCGCCUUGAGACACUUUGCAUCCGCCUCUCUGUUUGGGAGGAGGCGGCCAAGCAGUGUUUUUUCUCCUGGCAUGGCAUGAUACGUCAUUUGCUAUGUCGCCUAAAGGAGGAAUGUUUGGUUGUGUCUGCGUGUGCUUCGAACUUGCCUCUGUGGCACAUCCCAAUUUCACUUCUGGUCUCAAAUCAGGUAGGAUCACCCGCUGAACUUAAGCAUA